GUCAGGAGAGAUGGGCUCUUUCUAAUAAGGCUAUAACUACUCAGUCAGCUGCCCAGAGGGGAUUUGGGCAAGGCAUUCUAGGAGCAACUAGUUUGCAACUAACUAGUUUAUUCUAGAGUGAAGAGGAGUGGUCGGUCACUUGGUCCUUUGGUACUUUAAGAGUAAUCUAAGAACAUGUGCCUCUGGAGCCCUGUGCUAUCAUGUAGGAAUUCCAAUUACCCUGAAGCUGCCUGCUAGAGAGAUUACACAGACCUUGCAGAGCUUGAAAGAGAUGUCAGAGGAGCCCUGGUUGAUCCAGCCCCUGGUUGUUCAAGAUUCCCAGCCUAGGCAAGGAGCAGCUUUCAAAUGACUCCCCUCUCCAAUGGCCAAGCUGCCCCAGCCCACACCAAGGAGAGCAGAAAUGCGCUUCCUCCACUGAGCGUUAUUCAAAAUGCAGUUGUGUGAGCAAAAGAAAUGUUACUGAGAGAGCAAAAGCUGAGACUCAGAGGGAUUAAAGCAUUUGCCCAAGAUCGAAGAUCAAGAAGAGGGUUGCUUUGGAAUUUGAAUCCAGGACCAUCUAACUCUGAAGUUCACAUUCUCCUUGCUGUAGACUGUAUCCUACAGUCUCUCUCUGUGGCUCUGGACCUUUCUUAUGAGUCCCAGGGCAAAUGGCUCUUUUUCUCUCAGCUUGAAACUCCUAAGGAACAAACCUCUGUUCCCCAUCAAAGCCCGUAUGUCCUCUCUCUGAUUUCCUCAAAUAUCUAUCAGUUUUGCACACAUUUUCUUUAUAACUGAGAGGGGAUAACCUAUUCUAAUUACCUAUUCCAACCCACUUAUAAAAAAAAGAGGAAGAGGGGUGCCUGGGCAGCUCAGUCCAUAAAGUAUCCAACUCUCGGUUUCAGCUCAGGUCAUGAUCUCAGGGUCAUGAGAUGGGGCCCGGCACUGAGUUCCACACUGAGCAUGGGGCCUGCUUAAAAUUCUCUCUCUCCCUCCACCCCACCCGUGCUCUUGCUCUUUCUCUCUCUUAAAAAAAGAAAAAAAAAAAAAAAAAAGGAAGAAACUGAAGCCCAGACAGGAAGCAUUUUCUCAUACAAAGAGUAUUUACAUAUAAGGCCCAUUUUAAGCUUUUUUUCAGUUUUAAGCUAUCACACAGUCAUGACUACUAAAAUAUCACUGAACUGUCUCUGAUUAAUGACUUAACUCUCAUAGAUAAUAAUUUUUUACAAAUAAGAUACAUUUUCUACCAUAACAAAAGGAAUACAGGCUUAUUAUUAUUAUUUUUUUUUAAUACAGGCUUAUUUUUGACAAUUUGGAAACUAAAGCAAAGUAGCACAAGAAAGAAAUCCUUCAUAAAUCAUCAAAGAAGGGCACUAUUAAGUUUACCAAAUUUACUUCCAGUACUUUUUCUUUCUCUUUCUUUUCCUUGGCAUCAUUUCAGUUUUAUUUUUUUAUCAAGCUUUUUUUCUGAGUAUAAAAAUAAUACGUGGUCCACAAAGAGAUACCAUUGUACACCCAACAGAAUGAUUAAAAUUUUUAAAAAGAUGAACACCAUCAAAUAUUGGCAAGGGUAUGGAGCAAUCAGAACUUGCUUACAUUGUUGGCAAAAGUAUAAAAUGGUAUAACCGCUUUGAGAAUGGGCCUGGACUUUUCUUACAAAACUAAAUACAGGGGCACCUGGGUGGCUCAGUGGGUUAAAGCCUCUGCCUUCAGCUCAGGUCAUGAUUCCACGUUCCUGGGAUAGAGUCCUGCAUUGGGCUCCCUGCUCAGCAGGGAGCCUGCUUCCCUUCCUCUCUCUGCCUGCUUCUCUGCCUACUUGUGAUCUCUCUCUGUCAAAUAAAUAAAUAAAAUCUUUUAAAAAUAAAUAAAUAAAUAAAAUUUUUUUGAAAACUAAA